rnacentral:rRNA from 1 species
GAGUUUGAUCUUGACUCAGAUUGAACGCUGGCGGCAGGCCUAACACAUGCAAGUCGAGCGGAUGACGGGAGCUUGCUCCUUGAUUCAGCGGCGGACGGGUGAGUAAUGCCUAGGAAUCUGCCUGGUAGUGGGGGACAACGUUUCGAAAGGAACGCUAAUACCGCAUACGUCCUACGGGAGAAAGCAGGGGACCUUCGGGCCUUGCGCUAUCAGAUGAGCCUAGGUCGGAUUAGCUAGUUGGUGGGGUAAUGGCUCACCAAGGCGACGAUCCGUAACUGGUCUGAGAGGAUGAUCAGUCACACUGGAACUGAGACACGGUCCAGACUCCUACGGGAGGCAGCAGUGGGGAAUAUUGGACAAUGGGCGAAAGCCUGAUCCAGCCAUGCCGCGUGUGUGAAGAAGGUCUUUCGGAUUGUAAAGCACUUUAAGUUGGGAGGAAGGGCAGUAAGUUAAUACCUUGCUGUUUUGACGUUACCGACAGAAUAAGCACCGGCUAACUCUGUGCCAGCAGCCG